rnacentral:snRNA from 1 species
AUACUUACCUGGCAGGGGAGACACCUUGAUCAUGAAGGAGGUUUUCCCAGGGUGAGGCUCAUCCAUUGCACUGCGGGUGUGCUGACCCCUGCGAUUUCCCCAAAUGCGGGAAACUCGACUGCAUAAUUUGUGGUAGCGGGGGACUGCGUUCGCGCUUUCCCCUG